rnacentral:lncRNA from 1 species
AACAUAAAGGAGAAAGUUAUAUUUUGAGAUGCAUUCAAGAAAAAUCAAAAUGAAUGUCAUCUGUUUUUAAAGAGAAACUUUUGGCUAUAAGCUACUUUUCAAAAUUGAUUUUGAUCUGAUAAUAAAUAUUCUCUCUCCCUCUUCAAAAAAAUUACUUUCAUAACAGAGUCUAUGCCAAUUAUCAUACACAGAUUUUGAAAAAAUCAUUGGCUGUAUAUAAGAAACAAGUAUAUAAAACAAUAGUUUUCCAUUGUGUUUUAUUAUAAAUUACUUAAAAGUGGUAAGUUCAUAAAUAAAUAAAAAGAGAUAUACUUACAAUGGAAAAGAUCAAUUCUCCCAAUACUGAUGUAUAGAUGUAAUGCCAUUCCAAUAGAUAUUCAAUCAUGUUUCUUUUGUAUGGAACUGAAAAGCUGAUUCUAAAAUUUACCUAAGGGGAGUUCUUGUUGUAGCGCAUGGUAAUGAGCCUGAUUAGUAUCCAUGAGGAUGUGGGUUCAAUCCCUGACCUCGCUCAGUGGGUUAAGGAUCAGGUGUUGUCAUGAGCUGUGGUGUAGGUAGCAGACAUGGCUGUCUCAGUGAAAAACUUAAGGUAAAUGAGAAUGUGCCAUCACCAAAAUCUCAAGAUGGAGGGUUCCCCUAAAAGUUAAAAACCACUGUUGGACCAGAACUAGGUGAAAACAAAAGUGAGAGUACUGAAUAAUGUUUUCUUUGUCUUGUUUCCUUGUUACCAGAUUCAAGAGCUGUUUGCUUGAUUCACUGCAAGAGAAGAGAAGGAAAGCUGUGAUGAGCUAGAGGGGAAAGGCCCUACUUCUUGGAAAGUCUUGGACUGCUUUAUAAAAAUGAGGGGAUUGGCUAGGAGGCAAGGGAACCAGAGAUUAUCUGUGAGGCCAGCCCAGGAAAAGAAAACAGGUGAGUGGGAAGCUAGUUUCAGGAGGGCUCCCAAGGCCUUAAUCCCACAAGAAGCUUGAAAGCUGACAACUCCCCACUUUGCCAAUCCCUAACCCACAGAACUCCACAAGUACACCUCACAUCUCUUCUUGAAACCUAGUACCCAGUCCUAGAAGUUCAAAGCCCUGUUGAGGGGUUUGGGGGAGCUCCUGUCUUCCCCACUGUCUCUCAUCUGAGGUAGGAAAACCUCCUCAGUUCACUAAAGGGGGCAAAGAUGGGUUCCCAGAAUCGUAACUCUGAGUACCCAACCCCCUCCAUCAAGAAGGGUUGUCCCGUAUGGUGAUUCUAUGGCAGGAUCAGCAUAGAACAAUUAUAUGUGAAAUUAUAAAGUGGGUUACUUUCAUAGGCUCUUAUGGCUUGGCUAUGGACCCUAUUAUUAAAGACAACAAUUUAUAUAUGAAAUACACUAGAUGAGCUUCAAGUUCUAAAUAAUGGACAAGUGGCUUUUUUGGAACAAAACUCAUUGGAAACACAAUUCACUUGUAAGAUAAGGUAUACCCAAUCACAGAAC